ACGGAAGCAGCAGUGGGGAAUAUUGCACAAUGGGGGAAACCCUGAUGCAGCGACGCCGCGUGAGUGAAGAAGUAUUUCGGUAUGUAAAGCUCUAUCAGCAAGGAAGAAAAUGACGGUACUUGACUAAGAAGCCCCGGCUAACUACGUGCCAGCAGCCGCGGUAAUACGUAGGGGGCAAGCGUUAUCCGGAUUUACUGGGUGUAAAGGGAGCGUAGACGGCAUAGCAAGUCUGAAGUGAAAUGCGGGGGCUCAACCCCUGAACUGCUUUGGAAACUGUUAAGCUAGAGUGCAGGAGAGGUAAGUGGAAUUCCUAGUGUAGCGGUGAAAUGCGUAGAUAUUAGGAGGAACACCAGUGGCGAAGGCGGCUUACUGGACUGUAACUGACGUUGAGGCUCGAAAGCGUGGGGAGCAAACAGGAUUAGAUACCCUGGUA
rnacentral:rRNA from 1 species